GGCAGUUGGCAUUAAGGCUGCUCAGCAGCUGGCCUGGAGCUGAGGACGGUGUCCUGCCUCGUCUGGGUGGACUCAAUGUCAUCACCAGGAUCCUCAGUGGGAAAGGAAGAUGCAGAAGCAUCAGAACCAGAGGGAGGGCAGCGUGACAGACUCCACCAUGCACCCCUAGCUUCAGAGAAGGAGGAAGGACCAAGGAAUGGGGAGCCUCUAGAAGCUGGAAAAUGCAGGAGUGGAUGAAAAACUAGGAAGAAAAUCAGAUAGAAUGGAGAUGGAGGUUUGAGAGCCAUCUGAGCAGGCGGCCAGAGCCCUCACUUCUAUUACCCCCUGGGGAUCUUAACUUUGUGAAAACACCAAGGCUGAUGUAGCCAGAAUUUAAGGCAGUGAGCUCUCCCGACCAAGAGUCCAUGCCUUUCCUGUGGAGAUACACCGGCAGCUCUGUCAACUGAAAAGACUACACAACCCUAAAGUUGAGAAUUGUGUUUUAUAUGGUGGACAAAACUGAGAACUUAAGUCUGAGACACAGCAUCUCAGACAGCUCAGAGGGACUUCUCUGAAGAGGUAAGGGAGAAGCCAGGGUAUAUAGGGGUUUUUGAAACAAAGACCGGGUAAUCAAAACACCAAAAAAUUGCCAUUAAUUAAAGAAAACCAGACAUCUCAAGUCAAAGAAUGUAGUGCUUUUCUAUGUAUUCAAAGAUGCAAAAUCAAGGCCUGUUUAAAUCAUUCUUUGAUAUGUACCUCAGAUACAUGGGGCCAGCAUCCUGUGCUUUCUCUUCUCUGGGGGAAGCUCUGGGCUAGGUAGUUUGGGAUGUUUCUGUUCUCCAUGAACACAGGAAGUGUGGUUGGACAAGGGGUCAGUGGUUCCUUGCAGAGCUGGGCCUGCUCCCCUUCCUCUGGUUCCAUUUGCCUCCAUCACCUGAGCUCCUCCCUCACCCAGGAUCAGGGUGAUGACUCUGCACCAGUAUCAACUGCAAAUUGUCAGUUGCAUGGGCACUUGCCAUCUACCUCUACGAGGAUUAAAUCAGGUGCUGCUGCAGCUGCUGAUUCUCAACACCCCCUGAAAGGAGUUCAGGGUGGAGAGCAGGAAUGAGGCCCUCCGUGCUGAUGUUGGGGAGGAGGGGUAGAAACUAGCAGGACAGGUCUUCAGAUAGUUAGGUAUUUUCAGGAGCUGAUUUUAUGAGCCCAGUUCUUGUGUCUCCUUAUAUCUGAGGGUUUCCGUGGUAGCUCAGAUGGUAAA